AUUGAAAGCUGGCGGCAGGCCUAACACAUGCACGUCGAGCGGAGCGACGGAUGGGUGAGUGAUGCCUAGGAAUCUGCCUGGUAGUGGGGGAUAACGUCCGUUAACGGGCGCUAAUACCGCAUACUAUCAGAUGAGCCUCGGUCGGAUUAGCUAGGUGGUGGGGUAAAGGCCUACCCAGGCGACGAUCCGUAACUGGUCUGAGAGGAUGACCAGUCACACUGGAACUGAGACACGGUCCAGACUCCUACGUGAGGCAGCAGUGGGGAAUAUUGGACAAUGGGCUAAAGCCUGAUCCAGCCAUGCCGCGUGUGUGAAGAAGGGCAUCGGAUUGUAAAGCACUUUAAGUUGGGAGGCGUUACCAACAGAAUAAGCACCGGCUAACUUCGUGCCAGCCGCCGCGGUAAUUC
rnacentral:rRNA from 1 species